UCUAAAGCCAAGCCCUGGUACGAGAGCAGGCGAUAACCGGAGAAGGCAACGCCUGCCUCUUUUCUGGGCUUCACUCGCCAAAGGUGGAAAAAUUCGUGUUCGAUGGUUCAAAGGAUGCAAAAUCCUUUUCUCGUAUAUUUGCCAAUCAGAUCUGGUGUACUAUUGUUCUUAAUAGAAGCAAAGAAGAAUUAAUCAAGCUGAUCCAAAUAGAUUGGGCCUGAGCAGGAGAUGGCACUGGUCGAGCAUUUGAAGGGCAUGUCUCCAUUUGUCGCUGCUCAAAGUAAACUCGUACCGCUGUUGAAAGCUCUUGUGAAGCUGGGAAAGGAGGAAGUCGCUCAGCAAAUGCAAUCUGUGGGAGAUAGUUUCAAUUGGCUCGACAAGGAGUUGUGAAACUGGCUGAAGUUCUUGCUCUUCUUGUUGUUAUUGUUGAUGAUAAGGGAGGUAAACUACCACCUGACUUUUACUGCUGAAUAGUGCCAUAUUGGCUAUGCUGAAAAAGACCUUAGAUAUUUACAUAGGGCAAAUAAUUGAGUAAUAUCUUUUAACUAGUUUUUUUUUGGGCGAGAUUCUGGAUCAUUACAAAUGGUAUAAGAGCAGACUCGGUUCAUAA